UUUUAGAAAAUUAAAAAAUAAAUAAAAUUGGAAUGAUACAGGGAAGAUUAACAUGGCCCCUGGGCAAGGAUGAUAUGCACAUUCUUAAAAUGUUCCAUAUUUUU
ensembl:snRNA U6 U6 spliceosomal RNA